rnacentral:lncRNA from 1 species
AAAAUUGUACAGCACAUUGCAGUUUGGAUACUCAAACAAGACAGUAUUUUAAGUCAUUACCGGAUGCCACAUCAGGAUGAGUUUCCACGCUUACCAGCAUAAGAAUGGCCGCUCCUUUGAAACAGAAGUCAAAACUUGGACAUCAUGUAUCAAUGCGUCGUGAACCUGCACUCACUGUCAAAUAGUCACAACAUUACCAAGUAUAUCAUGGGAAAGCAGUCACGCCAAGAUUCGUUAAAAAAGCAGCAAAAGCCAUUGAGUCGAAAUCAAAUGCGUCAUCACAGCUCAAAAAAAACCUUACACCAAGUAUCAUCACAACAGUAAGGUACAAACUGCAGAAAUACUCAUUGUGCAAGGUUUAAAACAGAUACCGACAUGUUACGGCAUCAUGAUGCAAGUCUAUCCAUCACAUAACCAUGCCGUCUACCUACCUGUCAAAAAACCAGCAUCAAACCAGCAUCUAACCUAACUAAUACCAUGCUCAGACCAACACCAAACGCAUAAAUUCUAAUGGCCUACCUCAUCCUUCAACCAAAACCAAACAUGUCCUACAACAUGUGAGAGAAACCAACCAUCAGGACUUAAUCAUUCAGUCCAAAUUCAGUCACAAAAUAAAAGCCGUAAGUACCAUUUUGCCAAGAACACUCCAAUGCAUGAAUAUGGAUGAACCAAGCAUGGUACGGCCGUCCUAACC